UAAAAAGUCCUUUAAAUACAAAGG
rnacentral:tRNA from 1 species